rnacentral:ncRNA from 1 species
AACGACCCGUCUGAAGGAAGCCGGUAGCGAAGCGGCGAGCCGAUGAACAAGAACCCGAUAGGAGGCUGUUCCGCGCGGGGUGAGCGGGCCAACGACCGCGAAGCUCCCGAGACCAGAGCACGGCGCAGUAGAUCGGGCGGCGGUGCUGCGAAAGCCA